rnacentral:rRNA from 1 species
AUUGAACGCUGGCGGCAUGCCUUACACAUGCAAGUCGAACGGCGGCAUGAUCUAGCUUGCUAGAUUGAUGGCGAGUGGCGAACGGGUGAGUAAUACAUCGGAACGUGCCCUGUAGUGGGGGAUAACUAGUCGAAAGAUUAGCUAAUACCGCAUACGACCUGAGGGUGAAAGUGGGGGACCGCAAGGCCUCAUGCUAUAGGAGCGGCCGAUGUCUGAUUAGCUAGUUGGUGAGGUAAAGGCUCACCAAGGCGACGAUCAGUAGCUGGUCUGAGGGGACGAGCAGCCACACUGGGACUGAGACACGGCCCAGAAUCCUACGGGAGGCAGCAGUGGGGAAUUUUGGACAAUGGGGGCAACCCUGAUCCAGCAAUGCCGCGUGUGUGAAGAAGGCCUUCGGGUUGUAAAGCACUUUUGUCCGGAAAGAAACCGCACUUACUAAUAUUAGGUGUGGAUGACGGUACCGGAAGAAUAAGGACCGGCUAACUACGUGCCAGCCGCCGCCGUAAAAC